CCUACAUGGAGAAAGAGGCCUAUGUCCAACAGUGGGAUGUUACAGGCUGAAUGUGUACGAUAUGACAUUACAUGAAAAAGUUUAGAUGAAUGUUUAUAAUUCUUUCGGACAAUAGCUGCUGGACCGAUUGCUAAAAUAUUUAGUACGAAGAUAACUGAAGAUCUAAACUGACACGUAGGUUAUUUGCAUCCUGACAUUCUCACGGGAUUGGAAGUUACGAGUGUAACGUCACAGCUACUAUCACAUAUCAAAUUCUUUCGUUUCUCGAAUACACUUAAAAUAUAUUUUAGUUAGGUCCAAAAGUAUUAUAUCAAGCAAUAAAACUAAAACAACUAUGUUUUUGAGAAACUAAGGUCUAAAUAGAAAUAAGAACUUAUCCUAUUAUGUAUGUUAAAUUUAUGUCGUAUAAUUAAAAAUGAUUUAACUAC